rnacentral:rRNA from 1 species
ACAGCUCAAAUUUGAAAUCUGGCUCUUCUAGGGUCCGAGUUGUAAUUUGUAGAAGAUGCUUUGGGUGUGGCUCCGGUCUAAGUUCCUUGGAACAGGACGUCAUAGAGGGUGAGAAUCCCGUAUGUGACUGGGUGCUUUCGCUCGUGUAAAGCUCUUUCGACGAGUCGAGUUGUUUGGGAAUGCAGCUCAAAAUGGGUGGUAAAUUUCAUCUAAAGCUAAAUAUUGGCGAGAGACCGAUAGCGAA